AGUGAACGCUGGCGGUAGGCCUAACACAUGCAAGUCGAACGGCAGCACAGUAAGAGCUUGCUCUUACGGGUGGCGAGUGGCGGACGGGUGAGGAAUACAUCGGAAUCUACUUUUUCGUGGGGGAUAACGUAGGGAAACUUACGCUAAUACCGCAUACGACCUACGGGUGAAAGCAGGGGAUCUUCGGACCUUGCGCGAUUGAAUGAGCCGAUGUCGGAUUAGCUAGUUGGCGGGGUAAAGGCCCACCAAGGCGACGAUCCGUAGCUUGUCUGAGAGGAUGAUCCGCCACACUGGAACUGAGACACGGUCCAGACUCCUACGGGAGGCAGCAGUGGGGAAUAUUGGACAAUGGGCGCAAGCCUGAUCCAGCCAUACCGCGUGGGUGAAGAAGGCCUUCGGGUUGUAAAGCCCUUUUGUUGGGAAAGAAAAGCAGCAGGUUAAUACCCCGCUGUUCUGACGGUACCCAAAGAAUAAGCACCGGCUAACUUCGUG
rnacentral:rRNA from 1 species